CUGAAGUCUAAUGUUUUUCUCUGGGACACCUGUGAAUUGAUGAACUAGUGUCAGAUCUGUUUUUCGUUCCGCUGAAAUGAGGAGUACUCAAAAGAAGAGUAAUAGAGGAAGUGAUCUUUAUCCAGGAAAAGGGUGUGCACAUGUUCUCAAGACCGUGGGGUCAGUGAAUGUUAGAAGCCCAAGUGGUUUCAGAGGUAAACAUCAUCGGGGGUGUGUCUGAACUAAGGGGAAGCUGAUGCAACCUGUGUACCUGAGUCAUCCUGUUUUGUAACCAUCACCUGCAAAACAGUGUUGAAAAACCCCACGGUGACCCCAGCCCAAGCAACAGGAAGCCCAGCUCUGCAUUUUGUUGUUUCAGCCCCUGGAGCACAUUGAGUUUGGAAAGUUGUGUUCACUAGAUGUCUGUAGUUCCAACAAUCACAAGCAUAUUUUUAAAACUUUAAAAAACAAUCUUAAUCUAUUUCACGUCUUGUGUCUCUUUCCAUUGCUGCCCACUCCCACUCAUUCCCUCCUCUUCCGAGAUGCUCUCGCCUUUGCUGUCAGCCAGGUCUGAGCUGCUCUCAGAGCCUUGGAAUGGGUGUGUCACAGGCCAGAGAGAAUUUCGGGCUGAACCGUUAUAGUCAAGCCAACAAGAAGAAGACAUCAAUAAUGUUCCUGUCUAGCCUGUAGCCGCCGCAGUGAAGGAAGAGGGCAGCUAGAACGUAAGUGCACUUCUUUACCAGCCCCCCACGGAGCUGGCAACAGUAAUGUGUCAUCUUCAGUUGCCUUCUAGUAACCGACCAUUAGCUGUGGCCUGACCAGAACCCCCUCCUGUGUGUCCAGAAUGGUCCUCUGCCCCCCACCUUAUCCUUUGGACGGGUUUAUUCCUAGUGGCCUUGUGGUUUGCAUCUCUGUGCACCAGGGAGAAAGCAUGUUUAAUGAAAACCACACAAUUCAUCCUGACAGCCUUGGCCCAUCUCUCUCUUGAAGUGAGAAGCUGCUCGUGACUUUUUAUUCUAUUUUCAGUUUGUGUGUUUUGGUUGCAAAAGCAGGCAUUCCAUUGAAUUUGUGUGUGUCUGCAAAAACAGAUCAUCCUCCAAGAGCACAUACUCCCCU
rnacentral:lncRNA from 1 species